rnacentral:rRNA from 1 species
CCGGCGCACGGGUGAGUAACACGUAUGGAACCUGCCCUAUGCAGGGGGAUAAGCGGAAGAAAUUCCGUCUAAUACCGCAUAACACCAUUUGGAGACAUCUCCAGGUGGCCAAAGGAGGCGACUCCGGCAUAGGAUGGCCAUGCGUCGCAUUAGCUAGUCGGCGGGGUAACGGCCCACCGAGGCGACGGUGCGUAGGGGUUCUGAGAGGAAGGUCCCCCACACUGGUACUGAGACACGGACCAGACUCCUACGGGAGGCAGCAG